ensembl:lncRNA
CUCAUGUUUCCCAGUUCUGACACGGCCCAGGGAAGCCAAUGCAAGAGCCACUCCUGCUCGGGAGGAGAGGUCCAACCCCAUGCACAAGCUGCAGCACUCACCCUAUUGAAAGGCAAGAAGGGACACGCAAAUCACCCUCUCCCCAGUCCUGCCACACCGAAAUGCAUUAAAAAGGAUGGAAAAGCAAACACCCUGAUGGGCAAGAAUGCACGCUGACACAUUGGCUUUGUGGCAGUUCACCAUCAGUCUUGGCUUCAGCUCAUAUCAGUAUGGAGCAGCUUUGCUGUAGGGCAGGAUGACAGGGAGACCACCCUGCUGCCCAUGGGGUAUGGGAAGUGGGCUGGGGCUUCAUGGCAAAGGUGCUCCAGGGUCAUCUGGGCUGAGUGGGCGUCCCUCAGUGUGUACUGGGUGCAGGGAAGGGGAUCCCACACCUCUCUGGGAAGGUCUGUGAUAGAGAAGAGUCACAGAAUCAUGAAGGAUGGAAAAGCCCUCUCAGAUCCCCAGGUCCAACUCCCUCCCACCCCACCGUGCCCACUGAUACAUCCUUCAGUGCCACAUCUCCUCUGGAUCAUCUCUGGCACAGUGACUCUAUCACUUCUGGGCAGCUAUGCCAGUGCAGCACCGCUCUUUUGGACCUAAUAUCUGAGCUCAGAAGGUCCCAUCAGAGCCCAGCCCUGCCCUGCUGCACAACAAAACCUCAAGAGCUCCGGGGUGCUGCAGCUCUGCUUUUCCAGCAGGGAUAUUGCAUGCAAACCUACUGCUUUCAGCUCAAAGAUUACCUCAGUGUAAAAGAGGAGAUCUAAAGAAAAUAAGCGAUCUCCAAACGCAGUGAAACAAAAAACCUUUCUGUCCAAACCAAACGUUAUGGCUUGACCUGAACUGAACAGUCAUACCAGUAUGGGGACCUUUUGGGUCCUUAUUUCUUUCACUUUGCCCGAAAGCCCCUCCUGCAUCCCCAUCUCUGUGCUAUCCUGGUCCUACUUCCACACCCAGGACAUUCUCUUUGGGCACCAACCAACACUCUUGCUUCAUUUUCCCAUCAACUUCCAUGGUUCUUCAUCCAUGGACAGACCCAUUGGACGUUCUUCCAUCCACAGACCAGACCCAGUGGAUGAUCUUCACCAAAAGCAAGCAACACUUCAGGUCUCCUCCUUCAUGGACCUGUGAGCCUGCCCCAAGCAUCCUCCAGAGGAAGCCAUGGCCAAGAAGAGAUGGGCACCCGGAAGAUGCUGGUUGGUUUCCCUAUGGCUGCAAUAGGGGAAGCCUAUGAGGAGAGGGCUUCACAAAGAUGUUGGGUUCCAUUUCCAGCCCCCCACCCCUUGCUGGCUGUGCCAGUGCCGUGCCCUCCGACCUGAGGCAAAGAAGUGAAACCCCAGCAAAGUAGCAAACAAGUCGAGGCGUAAACACGGCACGAAUCCGCGGCGCUUCACCGCGGUUCGUUAUCUCUGGUUAGACUGGAGACGGCGGAGCCGGGUUUGAGGAGAGCAGAAAUAUCAGC